AUUGAACGCUGGCGGCAGGCCUAACACAUGCAAGUCGAACGAGUGGCGGACGCGUGAGUAAUGUCUGGGAAACUGCCCGAUGGAGGGGGAUAACUACUGGAAACGGUAGCUAUUAUCGCAUACCAUCGGAUGUGCCCAGAUGGGAUUCGCUAUUAGGUGGGGUAACGGCUCACCUAGUCGACGAUCCCUAGCUGGUCUGAACGGAGGGCCAGCCACACGGGAACGGAGACACGGUCCAGAUUCCUACGGGAGGCAGCAGUGGGGAAGAUUGCACAAUGGGCGCAAGCCUGAUGCAGCCAUGCCGCGUGUAUGAAGAAGGCCUUCGGGUUGUAAAGUACUUUCAGCGAGGAGGCGUUACUCGCAGAAGAAGCACCGGCUAACUCCGUGCCAGCAGCCGCGGUAAUUC
rnacentral:rRNA from 1 species